rnacentral:tRNA from 1 species
GCCGAGAUAGCUCAGGGGUAGAGCACUUCCAUGGUAAGGAAGGGGCCGAGGGUUCAAAUCCCUCUCUCGGCUCCA